GCCUGAGUGGCUCAGUGGUUGAGCACCUGCCUUUGGCUCAGGGCGUGAUCCGAGUCCUGGGAUUGAGUCCCAUAUCGGGCU
rnacentral:tRNA from 1 species